UCGUGUCGUGAGAUGUUGGGUUAAGUCCCGCAACGAGCGCAACCCUCACCUCUUGUUGCCACCAGGUCAUGCUGGGCACUCUAGAGGAACUGCCCCGGUCAACGGGGAGGAAGGCGGGGAUGACGUCAAGUCAUCAUGCCCCUUACGCCCUGGGCUACACACGUGCUACAAUGGCCGGUACAAAGGGAUGCAAGACCGCGAGGUGGAGCUAAACCCAAAAAGCCGGUCUAAGUUCAGAUUGGAGUCUGCAACUCGACUCCAUGAAGGAGGAAUCGCUAGUAAUCGC
rnacentral:rRNA from 1 species